GAUGAACGCUGGCGGCGUGCCUAAUACAUGCAAGUCGAGCGAACGGACGAGAAGCUUGCUUCUCUGAUGUUAGCGGCGGACGGGUGAGUAACACGUGGAUAACCUACCUAUAAGACUGGGAUAACUUCGGGAAACCGGAGCUAAUACCGGAUCAUAUUUUGUACCGCAUGGUUCAAAAGUGAAAGACGGUCUUGCCGUCACUUAUAGAUGGAUCCGCGCUGCAUUAGCUAGUUGGUAAGGUAACGGCUUACCAAGGCAACGAUCCAUAGCCGACCUGAGAGGGUGAUCGGCCACACUGGAACUGAGACACGGUCCAGACUCCUACGGGAGGCAGCAGUGGGGAAUAUUCCGCAAUGGGCGAAAGCCUGACGGAGCAACGCCGCGUGAGUGAUGAAGGUCUUCGGAUCGUAAAACUCUGUUAUUAGGGAAGAACAUAUGUGUAAUUAACUGUGCACAUCUUGACGGUACCUAAUCAGAAAGCCGCGGCUAACUACGUG
rnacentral:rRNA from 1 species